AUGCUCCGGACGACCUUUCCUGCCUUGUUCACGCAUGCCACCUGCUCCGAGGUCACGGUCUGGGAGGCGCGCCGCCGCGGGGUGCGCGCGCUGCUGGUGCCCCGGCUCACCCCGCGGGCGGCCCAGGAACUUGAUGCGGUUCAGCUGCUGGUUGCAGUGUGCCCUCCCCUGGGCGAGCCCGAGGCCCGGUCUGUCGCGCUCUGUGCGGGGCCUGGCGGUGGGUUCUCUUCACGGGGCGCCUACGCCCUCUACCACUACGGCGGUGUGGGCGCGCCUGCGGCUUCCUUCCUUUGGUCUUCCCGUGCCCCAUCGCGAGUCAAGUUCUUCGGGUGGCUGCUCACUCAGUCUCGUGUGCAUACACGGGACGUGCUGCUGCGCAAGACCAUCCUCACUGCGGCGGAGGCCGGGUGCCCCUGCUGCGAGGCGGAGCUUGAGACGGCCGACCACCUCAUCUUCGGGUGCCCGUUCGCGGUGCAGUUUUGGCUUAGGAUCGGGCUGCCCCCUGCUGUAGGUUCGGUUCGUGCGCUUCAUCGCUUCGACGCGUCCCCGGCCGUCGGCGCCAACUCUCCUGCGUGCUUCGUCCUUCUCUGCUGCUGGCGGCUAUGGAAGCAUCGAAACGCCAUUGUUUUCCAGGGUGACACGAUGUCCCUUGCUGCUACACUCAAAGCCUGUCGGGAUGAUGCAGUGCUUUAG
rnacentral:rRNA from 1 species